UGCGAACCUAGUGCGCAUAGUUGCUACCAUCAUCUUUCAGCUUGUUUUUCUCUAGGAAUGCGUUGAAAUUGAGGUUGACGUUGGCCAUCUACAAUAUUUAUAAAGACAACUUUUAGACUAAGUUCAUGACAAUUAAGUUCAUUUAAUCAAAUUAAGUAUGAACUCCCACUUAAAUCGACAUCCCUCCAGUCAUCUAAGUGAUACAUGAUCCAUGUUGACUAACCCGUGUCCGAUCAUCACAUGAGACG
rnacentral:lncRNA from 1 species